AAAAGUUCAGAUUAAAAACAGAACUGAACAGAAGAAUAUUUAGAUGCAGAAACUUAACUGUAUGAUACUGUGGUGUAAAAAAAGGCCAACUAACGCUUACCUGUGCAAGUCAGGAGUCGGCCUGGCUACCGCUAUGCUAGAGCUACGACGUCUGGAUGGAGUCGGUGACUUUGGAGCAUCGACGCUCGAGUGUCCUUGGGAUCCUGUGAAAGAGGUGCGAUGCAGACGAACCUCCACCUCGCUGCUUCUCCUCUGAAACGCCAUUUUGCCCCAUCGUCUGCUCUUCGAGUCGGAGUUCGAGGCCUCCUGUUUUCUGAAAGGACCACUUUCAGUUAGCGCGAAACGUAAUUCAAUUGGCCUGCUAUUU
rnacentral:misc_RNA from 1 species